UACGUAGGGGCCGAGCGUUGUCCGGAGUUACUGGGCGUAAAGCGCGCGCAGGCGGCUCGUCAAGCCUGACGUGAAAGCCCCCGGCUCAACCGGGGAGGGUCGUCGGGGACUGGCGGGCUUGGGGUCGGCAGGGGUUGGUGGAAUUCCCGGUGUAGUGGUGAAAUGCGUAGAGAUCGGGAGGAACACCUGUGGCGAAGGCGGCCAACUGGGCCGGACCUGACGCUGAGGCGCGAAGGCGUGGGGAGCGAACGGG
rnacentral:rRNA from 1 species